rnacentral:rRNA from 1 species
GGAGGUAUAUGUCUUCUAGAGCUAAAUAUUGGCCAGAGACCGAUAGCGCACUUGUAGAGUGAUCGAAAGAUGAAAAGCACUUUGAAAAGAGGGUUAAAUAGUACGUGAAAUUGUUGAAAGGGAAGCGCUCAUGACCAGACUUGGGCCCGGUGAAUCAUCCAGCGUUCUCGCUGGUGCACUUUGCCGGGCUCAGGCCAGCAUCAUUUUGCCCCGGGGGAUAAAGGCUUUGGGAAUGUGGCUCCUCCGGGAGUGUUAUAGCCCCAUUGCAUAAUAUCCUGGGGCGGACUGAGGUUCGCGCAUC